CUGGGAAUUUUAGAGGUAUUUUAGUUGGACUCACAGUCAAUCAGAAUAAUUUGCAUGAAACUCAAUAUGUAACUUUUAUCACAUACAAGAUAUAAAGUACUUAGUUACAGAGAAACAAUGCAUAUUCCUAGUACAUAUACAAUCACACACUUGCAUAUUCACCAGAUUAUAAACUUGACCUUCAUAAACAUAACAGACUCAUUCUUUCUUUUCCAUACCCUAGUCAAACAUUAGACUAUGUCUGUUCGUGAACUACAACUGUACCUGCUUUAUGUACACUUUAGGUAAGUGAUUAGAAAAUAUGUACCUUUAAUAGACAAUUUCCCUAUUUU